UACGUAGGGUCCGAGCGUUUGUCCGGAAUUACUGGGCGUAAAGAGCUCGUAGGUGGUUUGUCGCGUUGUUCGUGAAAACUCACAGCUUAACUGUGGGCGUGCGGGCGAUACGGGGCAGACUUGAGUACUGCAGGGGAGACUGGAAUUCCUGGUGUAGCGGUGAAAUGCGCAGAUAUCAGGAGGAACACCGGUGGCGAAGGCGGGUCUCUGGGACGUUACUGGACACUGAGGCGCGAAAGCGUGGGGAGCGAACAGG
rnacentral:rRNA from 1 species